rnacentral:rRNA from 1 species
CCACAACGAGCGCAACCCCUAUCUUUUGUUACCAGCGAGUUAAGUCGGGGACUCAGGAGAGACUGCCGCAGACAAUGCGGAGGAAGGCGGGGAUGACGUCAAGUCAUCAUGCCCCUUAUGGCUUGGGCUACACACGUACUACAAUGGCUCUUAAUAGAGGGAAGCGAAGGAGCGAUCCGGAGCAAACCCCAAAAACAGAGUCCCAGUUCGGAUUGCAGGCUGCAACCCGCCUGCAUGAAGCAGGAAUCGCUAGUAAUCGCAGGUCAGCAUACUGCGGUGAAUACGUUCCCGGGCCUUGUACACACCGCCCGUCACACCACGAAAGUC